ACCGCCUGUCCCAGACCCUCGUCGUCCCGGCGCCCCCCGGAUGCCCUUGGCUGGGUGUCCGGUUCGGGGUCCGGAGCGUUUACUUUGAAAAAAUUAGAGUGUUCAAAGCGGGCCGCCUCACCGCCUGAAUACCUGAGCUAGGAAUAAUGGAAUAGGACUCCGGUUCUAUUUUGUGGGUUUCCUGAACCAGGGGCCAUGAUUAAGAGGGACGCGCGGGGGCAUUCGUAU
rnacentral:rRNA from 1 species